UUAAAGGAAUUGACGGAAGGGCACCACCAGAAGUGGAGCCUGCGGCUCAAUUUGACUCAACACGGGAAACCUCACCAGGCCAGGACACUGGAAGGAUUGACAGAUUGAGAGCUCUUUCUUGAUUCGGUGGGCGGUGGUGCAUGGCCGUUCUUAGUUCGUGGGGCGACUUGUCUGGUUAAUUCCGUUAACGAACGAGACCCCGGCCUGCUAACUAGUCGAAACCGGCAUCCUUGGUGCAGCCGGCGAUCAAACAUCUUCUUAGAGGGACAGGCGGCUUCUAGCCGCAGGAAGUAGGGCAAUAACAGGUCUGUGAUGCCCUUAGAUGUUCUGGGCAGCACGCGCGCUACACUGAAGGGAUCAACGUGUGUUUUCCUAGUUUGAGAAGACCGGGUAACCCGUUGAAUGUCCUUCGUGCUAGGGAUUGGGGCUUGCAAUUGUUCCCCAUGAACGAGGAAUUUCUAGUAAGCGGGAAUCAUUAGUUCCCGUUGAUUAUGUCCCUGCCCUUUGUACACACCGCCCGUCGCUACUACCGAUUGAAUGAUUUAGUGAGGUCUUCGGACCAGAGCGCGGGCUCCGGCUGGCGCUCCGGAAAGAUGACCAAACUUGAUUAUUUAGAGGAAGUAAAAGUCGUAACAAGGUUUUC
rnacentral:rRNA from 1 species